rnacentral:rRNA from 1 species
UACGUAGGGAGCAAGCGUUGUCCGGAAUCAUUGGGCGUAAAGCGCGCGUAGGCGGCUCGUUAAGUCUGUUGUGAAAGUCAAAGGCUCAACCUUUGAAUGCCGAUGGAUACUGUCGAGCUAGAGUCCGGAAGAGGCGAGUGGAAUUCCUGGUGUAGCGGUGGAAUGCGCAGAUAUCAGGAGGAACACCAACGGCGAAGGCAGCUCGCUGGGACGGUACUGACGCUAAGGCGCGAAAGCGUGGGGAGCGAACAGG